GGGAUGUCCUGAUAUGUGUGUAAGGAAUGCAUUGUGUGAAUCUGUGUUUGUAUGUGUAAGGGCUGCAAGUUGUGUUUCUGUGUAUGUACGGGAUGCAGUGUAUGCGUCUGUAAGGGGUGCAUUGAGUGUGUGUACGGGGUGCAUUUAGUGUGUGUAAGGAAUGCAUUGUGUGUUUCUGUGUGUGUAAGGUUUGCAUGAUUGUGCGAUUGUGUGUG